rnacentral:tRNA from 1 species
UCCCUGGUGGUCCAGCGACUAAGACCCUGCCCUCCCAAUGCAGAGGGCCUGGGUUCAGUCCCUGGUCAGGGAA